rnacentral:piRNA from 1 species
UCCUAUGUGCCUGAGCCCAUGUACACCA